rnacentral:rRNA from 1 species
GCGCGAAACCUUUACACUGUACGCAAGUGCGAUAAGGGGACUCCGAGUGUGAAGGCGUAGAGCCUUCACUUUUGUACACCGUAAGGUGGUGUACGAAUAAGGGCUGGGCAAGACCGGUGCCAGCCGCCGCGGUAAUACCGGCAGCCCGAGUGAUGGCCGAUAUUAUUGGGCCUAAAGCGUCCGUAGCUGGCCGGACAAGUCCGUUGGGAAAUCUGUUCGCMMAACGAGCAGGCGUCCAGCGGAAACUGUUCGGCUUGGGACCGGAAGACCUGAGGGGUACGUCCGGGGUAGGAGUGAAAUCCUGUAAUCCUGGACGGACCACCGGUGGCGAAAGCGCCUCAGGAGGACGGAUCCGACAGUGAGGGACGAAAGCUAGGGUCUCGAACCGGAUUAGAUACCCGGGUAGUCCUAGCUGUAAACGAUGCCCGCUAGGUGUGGCGCAGGCUACGAGCCUGCGCUGUGCCGUAGGGAAGCCGAGAAGCGGGCCGCCUGGGAAGUACGUCUGCAAGGAUGAAACUUAAAGGAAUUGGCGGGGGAGCACUACAACCGGAGGAGCCUGCGGUUUAAUUGGAGUCAACGCCGG